AGAGUUUGAUCCUGGCUCAGGAUGAACGCUAGCGGCAGGCCUAACACAUGCAAGUCGAGGGGCAUCACGAGGUAGCAAUACUUUGGUGGCGACCGGCGCACGGGUGCGUAACGCGUAUGCAACCUACCUUUAACAGGGGCAUAACACUGAGAAAUUGGUACUAAUUCCCCAUAACAUUCGAGAAGGCAUCUUCUUGGGUUAAAAACUCCGGUGGUUAAAGAUGGGCAUGCGUUGUAUUAGCUAGUUGGUGAGGUAACGGCUCACCAAGGCAACGAUACAUAGGGGGACUGAGAGGUUAACCCCCCACAUUGGUACUGAGACACGGACCAAACUCCUACGGGAGGCAGCAGUGAGGAAUAUUGGUCAAUGGACGCAAGUCUGAACCAGCCAUGCCGCGUGCAGGAAGACGGCUCUAUGAGUUGUAAACUGCUUUUGUACGAGGGUAAACUCACCUACGUGUAGGUGACUGAAAGUAUCGUACGAAUAAGGAUCGGCUAACUCCGUGCCAGCAGCCGCGGUAAUACGGAGGAUUCAAGCGUUAUCCGGAUUUAUUGGGUUUAAAGGGUGCGUAGGCGGUUUGAUAAGUUAGAGGUGAAAUUUCGGGGCUCAACCCUGAACGUGCCUCUAAUACUGUUGAGCUAGAGAGUAGUUGCGGUAGGCGGAAUGUAUGGUGUAGCGGUGAAAUGCUUAGAGAUCAUACAGAACACCGAUUGCGAAGGCAGCUUACCAAACUAUAUCUGACGUUGAGGCACGAAAGCGUGGGGAGCAAACAGGAUUAGAUACCCUGGUAGUCCACGCAGUAAACGAUGAUAACUCGUUGUCGGCGAUACACAGUCGGUGACUAAGCGAAAGCGAUAAGUUAUCCACCUGGGGAGUACGUUCGCAAGAAUGAAACUCAAAGGAAUUGACGGGGGCCCGCACAAGCGGAGGAACAUGUGGUUUAAUUCGAUGAUACGCGAGGAACCUUACCCGGGCUUGAAUUGCAACUGAAUGAUGUGGAGACAUGUCAGCCGCAAGGCAGUUGUGAAGGUGCUGCAUGGUUGUCGUCAGCUCGUGCCGUGAGGUGUCGGCUUAAGUGCCAUAACGAGCGCAACCCUUAUCGAUAGUUACCAUCAGGUGAUGCUGGGGACUCUGUCGAGACUGCCGUCGUAAGAUGUGAGGAAGGUGGGGAUGACGUCAAAUCAGCACGGCCCUUACGUCCGGGGCUACACACGUGUUACAAUGGGGGGUACAGAGGGCCGCUACCACGCGAGUGGAUGCCAAUCCCCAAAACCUCUCUCAGUUCGGACUGGAGUCUGCAACCCGACUCCACGAAGCUGGAUUCGCUAGUAAUCGCGCAUCAGCCACGGCGCGGUGAAUACGUUCCCGGGCCUUGUACACACCGCCCGUCAAGCCAUGAAAGCCGGGGGUACCUGAAGUGCGUAACCGCAAGGAGCGCCCUAGGGUAAAACCGGUAAUUGGGGCUAAGUCGUAACAAGGUAGCCGUACCGGAAGGUGCGGCUG
rnacentral:rRNA from 1 species